CACGCUGUAAACGAUGUCGAUUUGGAGUUUGGGGGCAUGACCCUUGGGCUCCGGAGCUAACGCGUUAAAUCGACCGCUGGGGAGUACGGCCGCAAGGUUAAAACUCAAAUGAAUUGACGGGGGCCCGCACAAGCGGUGGAGCAUGUGGUUUAAUUCGAUGCAACGCGAAGAACCUUACCUGGUCUUGACAUCCAUAGAAUCUUUCAGAGAUGAGGGAGUGCCUUCGGGAGCUAUGAGACAGGUGCUGCAUGGCUGUCGUCAGCUCGUGUUGUGAAAUGUUGGGUUAAGUCCCGCAACGAGCGCAACCCCUAUCCUUUGUUGCCAGCACGUAAUGGUGGGAACUCAAAGGAGACUGCCGUUGAUAAAGCGGAGGAAGGUGGGGACGACGUCAAGUCAUCAUGGCCCUUACGACCAGGGCUACACACGUGCUACAAUGGCGUAUACAAAGGGAUGCGAAGGUGCGAACUGGAGCGGACCUCACAAAGUACGUCUAAGUCCGGAUUGGAGUCUGCAACUCGACUCCAUGAAGUCGGAAUCGCUAGUAAUCGUGAAUCAGAAUGUCACGGUGAAUACGUUCCCGGGCCUUGUACACACCGCCCGUCACACCAUGGGAGUGGGUUGCACCAGAAGUAGAUAGCUUAACCUUCGGGAGGGCGUUUACCACGGUGUGGUUCAUGACUGGGGUGAAGUCGUAACAAGGUAACCA
rnacentral:rRNA from 1 species